UACGAAGGGGGCGAGCGUUGUUCGGAUUUACUGGGCGUAAAGGGCGCGCAGGCGGCUCAUUUUGUCAGGCGUGAAAGCCCCCGGGCUUAACCUGGGAACUGCGUUUGAUACGGAUGGGCUAGAGUUCGGGAGAGGAGAGUGGAAUUCCCAGUGUAGAGGUGAAAUUCGUAGAUAUUGGGAAGAACACCGGUGGCGAAGGCGGCUCUCUGGACCGAUACUGACGCUGAGGCGCGAAAGCGUGGGGAGCAAACAGG
rnacentral:rRNA from 1 species